AUUGAACGCUGGCGGCAGGCCUAACACAUGCAAGUCGAGCGGCAGCGGAAAGUAGCUUGCUACUUUGCCGGCGAGCGGCGGACGGGUGAGGAAUGUCUGGGGAUCUGCCUGAUGGAGGGGGAUAACUACUGGAAACGGUAGCUAAUACCGCAUAACGUCGCAAGACCAAAGCGGGGGACCUUCGGGCCUCGCGCCAUCAGAUGAACCCAGAUGGGAUUAGCUAGUAGGUGGGGUAAUGGCUCACCUAGGCGACGAUCCGUAGCUGGUCUGAGAGGAUGACCAGACACACUGGAACUGAGACACGGUACAGACUCCUACGGGAGGCAGCAGUGGGGAAUAUUGCACAAUGGGCGCAAGCCUGAUGCAGCCAUGCCGCGUGUAUGAAGAAGGCCUUCGGGUUGUAAAGUACUUUCAGCGAGGAGGAAGGCGGUAAGGUUAAUAACCUUACUGAUUGACGUUACUCGCAGAAGAAGCACCGGCUAACUCCGUG
rnacentral:rRNA from 1 species